rnacentral:lncRNA from 1 species
UCUGGGGCUGCAAUCUCAUCUGAGGCUCAGGGUCUCCUUCCAAGCUCAAUGGUUGUGGGCAGAAUUUAGUUCCUUGCAGUUGUAGGCCUGACGCGUUCAGCAACUAAAGGCCACCCAUUGUUCUCUGCCACAUGACCCUCUCCACAACAUGGUAGUUUGCUUCCUCAAGGCCAACAAGGGUCUUUUGCUGCUUAUAGACUCUUCUUUAAAGGGCUCACCUGAUUAGGUCAGGCCCACCCAGGAUAAUCUCUC